rnacentral:rRNA from 1 species
UAGGGAAUCUUCGGCAAUGGGGGGAACCCUGACCGAGCAACGCCGCGUGAGUGAAGAAGGUUUUUGGAUCGUAAAGCUCUGUUGUAAGAGAAGAACGGGUGUGAGAGUGGAAAGUUCACACUGUGACGGUAUCUUACCAGAAAGGGACGGCUAACUACGUGCCAGCAGCCGCGGUAAUACGUAGGUCCCGAGCGUUGUCCGGAUUUAUUGGGCGUAAAGCGAGCGCAGGCGGUUAGAUAAGUCUGAAGUUAAAGGCUGUGGCUUAACCAUAGUAUGCUUUGGAAACUGUUUAACUUGAGUGCAGAAGGGGAGAGUGGAAUUCCAUGUGUAGCGGUGAAAUGCGUAGAUAUAUGGAGGAACACCGGUGGCGAAAGCGGCUCUCUGGUCUGUAACUGACGCUGAGGCUCGAAAGCGUGGGGAGCAAACA